CAGAUUCUGGCAAGAUGAAUCCCACCAGCUUGUUCCUCCUUACAUUGCUCCUCUUUCUGGUGACAGAAACAGCAGCGAGGAGACCCCGUGAAAAAUUCUCACAAGAGUCUGAAGAGAGUUCUUCUAGUGCAGCCUCUGAAGUUAUUUCAUCGGGGGAAGGCGGGGGAUCAAGUUCUUUCCAGGACGAUAACAGCUCAAGUGACAAGUCAGGGGGUUCCUCCUUUAAAAAAUCAAGCAGCAUGUUCAAGGAGACAGUCUAUGAGGAAAGGAAGAAAAAACAGAGUGGUGGUGACGGUGGUGAUGGUGACGGGAAGAGUGACUCAGAAAUAGAGCGGUCUUAUCUAAGGAGAAAGGAAAAGCAACGGCUUGCACAAGAAGUAGCUAAAUAAUGUGGCUAUGAACCAACUGACAAGUGGACAAAAGUAAUGGUUACCUGACCGCUCCCAAGGAGUUGCAUAAUCUGCAUGAAGCCUAUGGUAUCUUCAGGAUGGAGACUCCCAUGAGGUUCCAGAGACAGUUUGUGGAUUUCACUCACUUCUCCAUGUUUGUUUUUGAGAUUAAAAACCCAACAUUUGUUAAAAUACCUUCUUUCCAAUAAAAGACUACAUUUUGCAUCA
rnacentral:lncRNA from 1 species